rnacentral:SRP_RNA from 1 species
GCUAGGUUUGGUGGCACACUCUUGUAAUGCCAGCUACUCCAGAGGCUGAAGCGGGAGGCUUGCUUGAAUCCCACGAGUUCUGGGCUGUAGUGCGGUAUGCCCAUCCAGUAUCCACAGUAAGUUCAUCAUCAAUAUGGUGACCUCCGGGAGUGGAGUGGAGGGUUGCUUAAGGUGGGGUGGAGGGUUGCCUAAGGUGGGAUGAACUGGCCCAGAAACAGAGCAGGUUAAAACUCAUGCCUCAUGUGCUGAUCAGUAGUGGGAUCGCACCUAUGAAUAACCACCGCACUCCAGCCUAGGCAACAUAGCAGGACCCUAGUCUC